rnacentral:rRNA from 1 species
UGCCAGCAGCCGCGGUAAUACGGAGGGUGCAAGCGUUACUCGGAAUCACUGGGCGUAAAGGGUGCGUAGGCGGUUUAACAAGUCAGGGGUGAAAUCCUACAGCUCAACUGUAGAACUGCUCUUGAAACUGUUAGACUAGAAUAUGGGAGAAGCAGAUGGAAUUAGUGGUGUAGGGGUAAAAUCCGUAGAGAUCACUAGGAAUACCGAUGGCGAAGGCGAUCUGCUGGAACAAUAUUGACGCUGAGGCACGAAAGCGUGGGUAGCAAACAGGAUUAGAUA